AGCUGCGUUGUGAUCACAAAGCGAACUAUUCGUUCGCCUUCUUCUAAAGAAUACCGUGUGCUCGUCACAUCAAGCAGCAUAGUACCUUUGCUUUUUGAGGGCGCUUUUCCUGAUAGAUCAU
rfam:Oryza brachyantha chromosome 3, whole genome shotgun sequence.